rnacentral:rRNA from 1 species
CCUCCGGGUGGGGAAUAACCCAGGGAAACUUGGGCUAAUACCGCAUAAUGCAGCGGCACCUAAUGGUGAUUAGUUGUUAAAGCGGGGGAACCUUCGGGACCUCGCGCCUGGAGAGGAGCCUGCGGCAGAUUAGCUAGUUGGUGAGGUAAUGGCUCACCAAGGCUUCGAUCUGUAGCUGGUCUGAGAGGACGGCCAGCCACACUGGCACUGACACACGGGCCAG